rnacentral:rRNA from 1 species
UCCAGACUCCUACGGGAGGCAGCAGUGAGGAAUAUUGGUCAAUGGGCGGGAGCCUGAACCAGCCAAGUCGCGUGAAGGAAGAAGGUACUUAGUAUUGUAAACUUCUUUUGUCGGGGAACAAAGGCGGAGACGCGUCUCCGGAUGAGUGUACCCAAAGAAAAAGCAUCGGCUAACUCCGUGCCAGCAGCCGCGGUAAUACGGAGGAUGCGAGCGUUAUCCGGAUUUAUUGGGUUUAAAGGGUGCGCAGGCGGGAGAUCAAGUCAGCGGUAAAAUGUCGGGGCUCAACCCCGGCCGGCCGUUGAAACUGGUUUUCUAGAGUUGGAGAGAAGUAUGCGGAAUUCGUGGUGUAGCGGUGAAAUGCAUAGAUAUCACGAAGAACCCCGAUUGCGAAGGCAGCUUACUAAACUGUGACUGACAUUGAUGCUCGAAAGUGUGGGUAUCAAACAGGAUUAGAUACCCUUGUA